GACGAACGCUGGCGGCGUGCUUAACACAUGCAAGUCGAACGGAAAGGCCCUGCUUUUGUGGGGUGCUCGAGUGGCGAACGGGUGAGUAACACGUGAGUAACCUGCCCUUGACUUUGGGAUAACUUCAGGAAACUGGGGCUAAUACCGGAUAGGAGCUCCUGCUGCAUGGUGGGGGUUGGAAAGUUUCGGCGGUUGGGGAUGGACUCGCGGCUUAUCAGCUUGUUGGUGGGGUAGUGGCUUACCAAGGCGUUGACGGGUAGCCGGACUGAGAGGGUGACCGGCCACAUUGGGACUGAGAUACGGCCCAGACUCCUACGGGAGGCAGCAGUGGGGAAUAUUGCACAAUGGGCGGAAGCCUGAUGCAGCAACGCCGCGUGCGGGAUGACGGCCUUCGGGUUGUAAACCGCUUUCGCCUGUGACGAAGCGUGAGUGACGGUAAUGGGUAAAGAAGCACCGGCUAACUCCGUG
rnacentral:rRNA from 1 species